GACGAACGCUGGCGGCGUGCCUAAUACAUGCAAGUUGAGCGCUGAAGACUGGUACUUGUACCGGUUGGAUGAGCAGCGAACGGGUGAGUAACGCGUGGGUAACCUGCCCUAUAGAGGGGGAUAACUAGAGGAAACUUUAGCUAAUACCGCAUAAAAUCUAAUAACACAUGUUAUAAGAGUUAAAGUGCCAAUUGGUACACUAUAGGAUGGACACGUGUUGUAUUAGGUAGGUGGUGAGGUAAAGGCUCACCAAGGCGAUGAUACAUAGCCGACCUGAGAGGAUGGUCGGCCACACUGGGACUGAGACACGGCCCAGACUCCUACGGGAGGCAGCAGUAGGGAAUCUUCGGCAAUGGACGAAAGUCUGACCGAGCAACGCCGCGUGAGUGAAGAAGGUUUUCGGAUCGUAAAACUCUGUUGUAAGAGAAGAACACCAGUAAGAGUGGAAAGCUUACUGGCUGACGGUAUCUUACCAGAAAGCCACGGCUAACUACGUGCCAGCCGCCGCCGUAA
rnacentral:rRNA from 1 species